rnacentral:lncRNA from 1 species
CCCUACAGGAGGGGGCAGACUCUAGGAGGGACUGCAGAUUAAGGCCUAGGGGGCCACGUGACCCUCCCCCAGGAAUGCGGUGACGUCACCGGGGGCGUGGCCGUCCCCAAAAUUGGGGAGGAAGGGAAAAAAAACUAGAAAAAGUUUCUUUCCUGGAGUCCCAAACGAGGUCUGGGACAGAAGGGGGGAGGGAGUCAAGGCCACAGGCCCAGGACUCUGUGGGUCCCUGACUGGUGUCUGGAGUCCUCCCGUUCCAGGCCAUGUCGGGUCCCACCUGGCUCCCCCCGAAGCAGCCGGAGCCCGCCAGAGCCCCUCAGGGGAGACUACUCUCCCGAGGUGCCCCAGGGGCACCACCAGCCCACGGAGCAGCACUCCAGCCCCAUCCCAGGGUCAAUUUUUUCCCCCUCCCAUCUGAGCAGUGUUACCAGCCCC